rnacentral:rRNA from 1 species
GAACGGGAAAUAUUUUAUUGAAACUUCGGUCGAUUUAAUUUAUUUCUAGUGGCGGACGGGUGAGUAACGCGUGGGUAACCUGCCUUAUACUGGGGGAUAACAGCCAGAAAUGACUGCUAAUACCGCAUAAGCGCACAGAACCGCAUGGUUCGGUGUGAAAAACUCCGGUGGUAUAAGAUGGACCCGCGUUGGAUUAGCUAGUUGGCAGGGCAGCGGCCUACCAAGGCGACGAUCCAUAGCCGGCCUGAGAGGGUGAACGGCCACAUUGGGACUGAGACACGGCCCAGACUCCUACGGGAGGCAGCAGUGGGGAAUAUUGCACAAUGGGGGAAACCCUGAUGCAGCGACGCCGCGUGAAGGAAGAAGUAUCUCGGUAUGUAAACUUCUAUCAGCAGGGAAGAUAAUGACGGUACCUGACUAAGAAGCCCCGGCUAACUACGUGCCAGCAGCCGCGGUAAUACGUAGGGGGCAAGCGUUAUCCGGAUUUACUGGGUGUAAAGGGAGCGUAGACGGCGCAGCAAGUCUGAUGUGAAAGGCAGGGGCUUAACCCCUGGACUGCAUUGGAAACUGCUGUGCUUGAGUGCCGGAGGGGUAAGCGGAAUUCCUAGUGUAGCGGUGAAAUGCGUAGAUAUUAGGAGGAACACCAGUGGCGAAGGCGGCUUACUGGACGGUA